GGGCUUGUAGCUCAAUUAGUAGAGUGUUCGCUUUGCAUGCGAAAGGCAUCCGGAGCGAAACCGGACUGGUCCA
rfam:Pseudocohnilembus persalinus scaffold466, whole genome shotgun sequence.